rnacentral:rRNA from 1 species
AGUGAACGCUGGCGGUAGGUCUAACACAUGCAAGUCGAACGGCAGCACAGUAAGAGCUUGCUCUUACGGGUGGUGAGUGUCUGACGCGAGAGAAAUACAUCGGAAUGUACCUUUUCGUGGGUGAUAACGGAGGGCAACAUACGCAAAUACCGAAUACGACCCACGGGUGAAAGCAGGGGAUCAUCGGACCUUGCGCGAGUGAGUGAGCCGAUGUCGGAUUAGCUAGGUGGCGGGGUAAAGGCCCACCUAGGGGACGAUCCGUAGCCGGCCUGAGAAGAUGAUCCGCCACUCUCGAACAGAUACACGGUCCAGACUCUUACAGUAGGCAGCAGUGGAAAAUACUGAACAAUAAACGGAGGCCUGAGCCAACCAACCCGCGUGGGUGAAAAAGGCCUUCGAGUUGUAAAGCCCUUUUGUUGGGAAAGAAAAGCAGCAGGUUAAUACCCAGCUGUUCUAACGGUACCCAAAGAAUAAGCACCGGCUAACUUCGUG